rnacentral:tRNA from 1 species
CAAAUUAGUUGAUAGUGAUAGGAUCCCCUUUUUGACGCAUGGUAAGGGGGAAGAAGCACACUUGAAGAGCGC